rnacentral:rRNA from 1 species
AUUGAACGCUGGCGGCAGGCCUAACACAUGCAAGUCGAACGAGUGGCGGACGGGUGAGUAAUGUCUGGGAAACUGCCUGAUGGAGGGGGAUAACUACUGGAAACGGUAGCUAAUACCGCAUACCAUCGGAUGUGCCCAGAUGGGAUUAGCUAGUAGGUGGGGUAAAGGCUCACCUAGGCGACGAUCCCUAGCUGGUCUGAGAAGAUGACCAGCCACACGUGAACGUAGACACGGUCACGUCUCAUACGGGAGGCAGCUGUGGGGAAAAUUGCACAAUGGGCGAAAUCCUGAUGCAGCCAUGCCGCGUGUAUGAAGAAGGCCUUCGGGUUUUAGAGUACUUUCAGCGGGGAGGCGUUACCCGACGAAGGAGCACCGGCUAACUCCGUGCCAGCAGCCGCGGUAAUUC